UACGUAGGGUGCGAGCGUUAAUCGGAAUUACUGGGCGUAAAGCGUGCGCAGGCGGUUAUUUAAGUCAGGUGUGAAAGCCCUGGGCUUAACCUAGGAAUUGCGCUUGAGACUGGAUAGCUUGGAGUGCGGCAGAGGGAGGUGGAAUCCACGUGUAGCAGUGAAAUGCGUAGAGAUGUGGAGGAACACCGAUGGCGAAGGCAGCCUCCUGGGCCAGCACUGACGCUCAUGCACGAAAGCGUGGGGAGCAAACAGG
rnacentral:rRNA from 1 species